rnacentral:rRNA from 1 species
AUGAACGCUAGCUACAGGCUUAACACAUGCAAGUCGAGGGGCAUCAGGAAGAAAGCUUGCUUUCUUUGCUGGCGACCGGCGCACGGGUGAGUAACACGUAUCCAACCUGCCCUUUACUCGGGGAUAGCCUUUCGAAAGAAAGAUUAAUACCCGAUAGCAUAAUGAUUCCGCAUGGUUUCAUUAUUAAAGGAUUCCGGUAAAGGAUGGGGAUGCGUUCCAUUAGGUUGUUGGUGAGGUAACGGCUCACCAAGCCUUCGAUGGAUAGGGGUUCUGAGAGGAAGGUCCCCCACAUUGGAACUGAGACACGGUCCAAACUCCUACGGGAGGCAGCAGUGAGGAAUAUUGGUCAAUGGGCGGUAGCCUGAACCAGCCAAGUAGCGUGAAGGAUGAAGGCUCUAUGGGUCGUAAACUUCUUUUAUAUAAGAAUAAAGUGCAGUAUGUAUACUGUUUUGUAUGUAUUAUAUGAAUAAGGAUCGGCUAACUCCGUGCCAGCAGCCGCGGUAAUACGGAGGAUCCGAGCGUUAUCCGGAUUUAUUGGGUUUAAAGGGAGCGUAGGUGGACUGGUAAGUCAGUUGUGAAAGUUUGCGGCUCAACCGUAAAAUUGCAGUUGAUACUGUCAGUCUUGAGUACAGUAGAGGUGGGCGGAAUUCGUGGUGUAGCGGUGAAAUGCUUAGAGAUCAUACAGAACACCGAUUGCGAAGGCAGCUUACCAAACUAUAUCUGACGUUGAGGCACGAAAGCGUGGGGAGCAAACAGGAUUAGAUACCCUGGUAGUCCACACAGUAAACGAUGAAUACUCGCUGUUUGCGAUAUACAGUAAGCGGCCAAGCGAAAGCAUUAAGUAUUCCACCUGGGGAGUACGCCGGCAACGGUGAAACUCAAAGGAAUUGACGGGGGCCCGCACAAGCGGAGGAACAUGUGGUUUAAUUCGAUGAUACGCGAGGAACCUUACCCGGGCUUAAAUUGCAGUGGAAUGAUGUGGAAACAUGUCAGUGAGCAAUCACCGCUGUGAAGGUGCUGCAUGGUUGUCGUCAGCUCGUGCCGUGAGGUGUCGGCUUAAGUGCCAUAACGAGCGCAACCCUUAUCUUCAGUUACUAACAGGUCAUGCUGAGGACUCUGGAGAGACUGCCGUCGUAAGAUGUGAGGAAGGUGGGGAUGACGUCAAAUCAGCACGGCCCUUACGUCCGGGGCUACACACGUGUUACAAUGGGGGGUACAGAAGGCAGCUAGCGGGUGACCGUAUGCUAAUCCCAAAAUCCUCUCUCAGUUCGGAUCGAAGUCUGCAACCCGACUUCGUGAAGCUGGAUUCGCUAGUAAUCGCGCAUCAGCCACGGCGCGGUGAAUACGUUCCCGGGCCUUGUACACACCGCCCGUCAAGCCAUGGGAGCCGGGGGUACCUGAAGUACGUAACCGCAAGGAUCGUCCUAGGGUAAAACUGGUGACUGGGGCU